UGAGGAAUAUUGGUCAAUGGGCGCAAGCCUGAACCAGCCAUGCCGCGUGCAGGAAGAAGGCCUUCGGGUUGUAAACCGCUUUUGUCGGGGAAGAAACGAGUUUCUCUAAUACAGAGACUUAAUGACGGUACCUGAAGAAUAAGCACCGGCUAACUACGUGCCAGCAGCCGCGGUAAUACGUAGGGUGCGAGCGUUAAUCGGAAUUACUGGGCGUAAAGCGUGCGCAGGCGGUUAUAUAAGACAGAGGUGAAAUCCCCGGGCUCAACCUGGGAACUGCCUUUGUGACUGCAUAGCUAGAGUACGGUAGAGGGGGAUGGAAUUCCGCGUGUAGCAGUGAAAUGCGUAGAUAUGCGGAGGAGCACCGAUGGUGAAGGCAAUCCCCUGGACCUGUACUGACGCUCAUGCACGAAAGCGUGGGGAGCAAACA
rnacentral:rRNA from 1 species